UACGGAGGGGGCUAGCGUUGUUCGGAAUUACUGGGCGUAAAGCGCACGUAGGCGGCUUUGUAAGUCAGAGGUGAAAGCCCAGGGCUUAACCCUGGAAUUGCCUUUAAGACUGCAUCGCUAGAAUUGUGGAGAGGUAAGUGGAAUUCCGAGUGUAGAGGUGAAAUUCGUAGAUAUUCGGAAGAACACCAGUGGCGAAAGCGGCUCACUGGACCGCAACUGACGCUGAGGCGCGAAAGCUAGGGGAGCAAACAGG
rnacentral:rRNA from 1 species